rnacentral:misc_RNA from 1 species
CAGAGUUGUAAAACUCCAAAACCUAAUGUGAACAUACCUACUCGUUGCUUCGGCAGGCGGUCCCAGGGCGGGACCAUUGCCUUUCUCAGGCGCCUGCCGGAGGAUUACUACUCUAUACCAUACCUGUCAUUCUGAGCUCGUUAUAAAUAAGUCAA